rnacentral:rRNA from 1 species
AACGAACGCUGGCGGCAGGCUUAACACGUGCAAGUCGAGCGGGCCCUUCGGGGUCAGCGGCGGACGGGUUAGUAACGCGUGGGAACGUGCCCUUUGCCUCGGAAUAGCCCUGGGAAACUGGGGGUAAUACCGGAUGUGCCCUGAGGGGGGAAGAUUUAUCGGGAAGGGAUCGGCCCGCGACUGAUUAGGUAGUUGGUGUGGUAACGGCGCACCAAGCCGACGGUCGGUAGCUGGUUUGAGAGGAUGAUCAGCGACACUGGGACUGAGACACGGCCCAGACUCCUACGGGAGGCAGCAGUGGGGAAUCUUAGACAAUGGGCGCAAGCCUGAUCUAGCCAUGCCGCGUGGGUGAUGAAGGCCUUAGGGUCGUAAAGCCCUUUCGCCGGGGAAGAUAAUGACGGUACCCGGUAAAGAAACCCCGGCUAACUCCGUGCCAGCCGCCGCCGUAA